UAGUAAUGUAAAUAUUUUUGGAGAUGUAGGUCUGCCAAAGGAGUCAUGACCUCACAGGCUGAGAACCGCUGUUGUGGAGGGACCUCACAAAAGAACGGGAGGCAGACUUCAGCAGUGAACACGAACUCCUCUCGUUCUUUCACUGGCUCUGAGAUACCAGAACAACAGCACAAAACGUGAUCAGCAUAGAAAUGGUCUGAGGACCUCCGCUCAUUCUUGAUGGCUACUCACCGAGAGCGUUCUACACGUGCAGAAUUUCAGCUGAGAAAGAGUUCGCACGCUCUAUAAGCAUUUUCUGCUGUGAGUCUAGAGAGGAAGACCACGUCUCCCAUGGUCACAGAAAGUCUUGAUCCUGAGCUCAACACUGGGUGUUGAAGGAAAGAAGAUGUCUAUGUAACAUGCUACCCCAGUUUCCUUCGUGUGUGUAUGUGUGUGUGUGUAAUAUGUAUGUGUACAUGUGGUAUGUGUAUGUAAUAUGUAUGUGUACAUGUGGUGUGUGUAAUAUAUAUAUGUACAUGGUGUGUGUGUAAUAUGUAUAUGUCCAUGUGUGUGUAAUAUGUAUGUGUACAUGUGGUGUGUGUAAUAUGUAUAUGUCCAUGUGUGUGUAAUAUGUAUGUGUACAUGUGGUGUGUGUAUGUAAUAUGUAUGUGUGUGUGUGUGUGUGUGUGCCCAUGCACGUGCGCGAGUGGGCACAUGUGUGGAGAUGCUCCCUGUAUCUGUCUAUGCUGGAAAGAACUUCCAAUGAUCUCUCUAUUUUUCUUUUGAAAGGAUUCAAUUCUUU
rnacentral:lncRNA from 1 species